GUUCCCAGGUACAGAUCAUAUUGAUCAGUGGAAUAAAGUUAUUGAACAGCUUGGAACACCAUGUCCUGAAUUCAUGAAGAAACUGCAACCAACAGUAAGGACUUACGUUGAAAACAGACCUAAAUAUGCUGGAUAUAGCUUUGAGAAACUCUUCCCUGAUGUCCUUUUCCCAGCUGACUCAGAACACAACAAACUUAAAGCCAGUCAGGCAAGGGAUUUGUUAUCCAAAAUGCUGGUAAUAGAUGCAUCUAAAAGGAUCUCUGUAGAUGAAGCUCUCCAACACCCGUACAUCAAUGUCUGGUAUGAUCCUUCUGAAGCAGAAGCUCCACCACCAAAGAUCCCUGACAAGCAGUUAGAUGAAAGGGAACACACAAUAGAAGAGUGGAAAGGUACAUUCGUCAGAUUCUUAGAGGGAAAACUGUGAAGGAGCUUCUGGUUUUUAUAUGGUGAUUUAUUAUCAUGUUAGAGAAAUUUGUGACUUUAAUAUGCAUAACCGAAAUGUAAUAUUAAUAUUUUUACAUAAGUAGAAAGUAAGUCUGCUUCCUUCCUUAACUUAAUCUUAAGUUUCCAAGUUUCCCACCCCAGACACAGACACAUUAGUGCUCUGUCUCAUAUUUUUUUCCAUGGUUUGUGAAUACACAAAUGUGUUUAGU
rnacentral:sRNA from 1 species